AGCAGCCGCCGCGGUAAAACGUAGGUGGCAAGCGUUGUCCGGAAUUAUUGGGCGUAAAGGGCUCGCAGGCGGUCUCUUAAGUCUGAUGUGAAAGCCCCCGGCUCAACCGGGGAGGGUCAUUGGAAACUGGGAAACUUGAGUGCAGAAGAGGAGAGUGGAAUUCCACGUGUAGCGGUGAAAUGCGUAGAGAUGUGGAGGAACACCAGUGGCGAAGGCGACUCUCUGGUCUGUAACUGACGCUGAGGAGCGAAAGCGUGGGGAGCGAACAGGAUUAGAGACCCCCGUAGUCCCUGUCUCUUAUAC
rnacentral:rRNA from 1 species